AUACGGGGGGUGCAAGCGUUGUUCGGAAUUAUUGGGCGUAAAGCGCGUGUAGGCGGUUUGCUCAGUCUGAUGUGAAAGCCCUGGGCUCAACCUGGGAAGUGCAUUGGAUACUGGCAGACUUGAGUACGGGAGAGGGUAGUGGAAUUCCCAGUGUAGGAGUGAAAUCCGUAGAUAUCAGGAGGAACACCGGUGGCGAAGGCGGCUACCUGGACCGAUAUUGACGCUGAGACGCGAAAGCGUGGGUAGC
rnacentral:rRNA from 1 species